rnacentral:rRNA from 1 species
GACGAACGCUGGCGGCGUGCUUAACACAUGCAAGUCGAACGGAAAGGCCCUGCUUUUGUGGGGUGCUCGAGUGGCGAACGGGUGAGUAACACGUGAGUAACCUGCCCUUGACUUUGGGAUAACUUCAGGAAACUGGGGCUAAUACCGGAUAGGAGCUCCUGCUGCAUGGUGGGGGCUGGAAAGUUUCGGCGGUUGGGGAUGGACUCGCGGCUUAUCAGCUUGUUGGUGGGGUAGUGGCUUACCAAGGCUUUGACGGGUAGCCGGCCUGAGAGGGUGACCGGCCAAAGUGGGACUGGUAUACGGCCCAGACUCCUACGGGGGACAGCAGUGGGGAAUAUUGCACAAUGGGCGGAAUCCUGAUGCUGCAACGCCGCGUGCGGGAUGACGACCUUCGGGUUGUAAGCCGCUUUCGCCUGUGACGAAGCGUAAGUGACGGUAAUGGGUAAAGAAGCACCGGCUAACUACGUG